CACCGAAUCAACAGCCUGUCUCGCCAUAAUGACUUCCACGGUGGUAAGAAGGGCUGCCCUGCAGCGAACCGCCAUCCUAGCGGGCGUCGCUUUCCCGGUUAUUGCCCCUCCACUCCCUUUAGUCAAGCUCAGCUCUACUAUUUCUUUGAGGAAAUCUCUUGCAGCAGGCUCUAAUUAAUAUUUCUCCUUUAAUACUUUAACAUCCUCAUUCAAACACCUUGACUUAUCUAUCCUAAAUAAUUUGUUCUUAUACGAAAAAUUACCUGCCUCUUGGAUUAUUUUCAAUGUUAUUCCUGCUCCCAAAGUCAACUCUUCCUCUUCUUUCAAUUAAUAAAAAAAAAAAAUUCAGUUAUCUAGGCAAAAUAUUUAAUGUUAUAUGAAAACAUAUAUCGCACUGUAUGCGUCAAAAUUCUACCUACUACCUAUGCAGUAUGUACCUACAUAUCUUGAAAAAAAAUUUUCACCAAAUUG